UCUGAGACACGAAUCCAGGCCCUACGGGGUGCAGCAGGCGCGAAAACUUUACAAUGCUGGCAACAGCGAUAAGGGAACCUCGAGUGCCAGGUUACAAAUCUGGCUGUCGAGAUGCCUAAAAAGCAUUUCAUAGCAAGGGCCGGGCAAGACCGGUGCCAGCCGCCGCGGUAACACCGGCGGCUCGAGUGGUAACCGUUAUUAUUGGGUCUAAAGGGUCUGUAGCCGGCCGGAUAAGUCUCUUGAGAAAUCCAGCAGCUCAACUGUUGGGCUUUCAGGAGAUACUGUUCGGCUCGAGGCCGGGAGAGGUGAGAGGUACUUCAGGGGUAGGGGUGAAAUCUUGUAAUCCUUGAAGGACCACCAGUGGCGAAGGCGUCUCACCAGAACGGACCUGACGGCAAGGGACGAAAGCUAGGGGCACGAACCGGAUUAGAUACCCGGGUAGUCCUAGCCGUAAACGAUACUCGCUAGGUGUCGGCCACGGUGCGACCGUUGUCGGUGCCGUAGGGAAGCCGUGAAGCGAGC
rnacentral:rRNA from 1 species